GCCUGUGUUGCUCAAUGGUUAGAGUGUUGGCCCACACACCAAAGAAGUCAUGGGUUCAAUUCCUGGUCAAGGGCA
rnacentral:tRNA from 1 species